rnacentral:rRNA from 1 species
UUAAGUUAUUAAGGGCGCACGGUGGAUGCCUUGGCACUAGAAGCCGAUGAAGGACGUUACUAACGACGAUAUGCUUUGGGGAGCUGUAAGUAAGCUUUGAUCCAGAGAUUUCCGAAUGGGGAAACCCAGCAUGAGUUAUGUCAUGUUAUCGAUAUGUGAAUACAUAGCAUAUCAGAAGGCACACCCGGAGAACUGAAACAUCUUAGUACCCGGAGGAAGAGAAAGAAAAUUCGAUUCCCUUAGUAGCGGCGAGCGAAACGGGAAGAGCCCAAACUAACAAGCUUGCUUGUUGGGGUUGUAGGACACUCUAUACGGAGUUACAAAGGACGACAUUAGACGAAUCAUCUGGAAAGAUGAAUCAAAGAAGGUAAUAAUCCUGUAGUCGAAAAUGUUGUCUCUCUUGAGUGGAUCCUGAGUACGACGGAGCACGUGAAAUUCCGUCGGAAUCUGGGAGGACCAUCUCCUAAGGCUAAAUACUCUCUAGUGACCGAUAGUGAACCAGUACCGUGAGGGAAAGGUGAAAAGCACCCCGGAAGGGGAGUGAAAUAGAACCUGAAACCGUGUGCUUACAAGUAGUCAGAGCCCGUUAAUGGGUGAUGGCGUGCCUUUUGUAGAAUGAACCGGCGAGUUACGAUUUGAUGCAAGGUUAAGCAGUAAAUGUGGAGCCGUAGCGAAAGCGAGUCUGAAUAGGGCGUUUAGUAUUUGGUCGUAGACCCGAAACCAGGUGAUCUACCCUUGGUCAGGUUGAAGUUCAGGUAACACUGAAUGGAGGACCGAACCGACUUACGUUGAAAAGUGAGCGGAUGAACUGAGGGUAGCGGAGAAAUUCCAAUCGAACCUGGAGAUAGCUGGUUCUCUCCGAAAUAGCUUUAGGGCUAGCCUCAAGUGAUGAUUAUUGGAGGUAGAGCACUGUUUGGACGAGGGGCCCCUCUCGGGUUACCGAAUUCAGACAAACUCCGAAUGCCAAUUAAUUUAACUUGGGAGUCAGAACAUGGGUGAUAAGGUCCGUGUUCGAAAGGGAAACAGCCCAGACCACCAGCUAAGGUCCCAAAAUAUAUGUUAAGUGGAAAAGGAUGUGGCGUUGCCCAGACAACUAGGAUGUUGGCUUAGAAGCAGCCAUCAUUUAAAGAGUGCGUAAUAGCUCACUAGUCGAGUGACACUGCGCCGAAAAUGUACCGGGGCUAAACAUAUUACCGAAGCUGUGGAUUGUCCUUUGGACAAUGGUAGGAGAGCGUUCUAAGGGCGUUGAAGCAUGAUCGUAAGGACAUGUGGAGCGCUUAGAAGUGAGAAUGCCGGUGUGAGUAGCGAAAGACGGGUGAGAAUCCCGUCCACCGAUUGACUAAGGUUUCCAGAGGAAGGCUCGUCCGCUCUGGGUUAGUCGGGUCCUAAGCUGAGGCCGACAGGCGUAGGCGAUGGAUAACAGGUUGAUAUUCCUGUACCACCUAUAAUCGUUUUAAUCGAUGGGGGGACGCAGUAGGAUAGGCGAAGCGUGCGAUUGGAUUGCACGUCUAAGCAGUAAGGCUGAGUAUUAGGCAAAUCCGGUACUCGUUAAGGCUGAGCUGUGAUGGGGAGAAGACAUUGAGUCUUCGAGUCGUUGAUUUCACACUGCCGAGAAAAGCCUCUAGAUAGAAAAUAGGUGCCCGUACCGCAAACCGACACAGGUAGUCAAGAUGAGAAUUCUAAGGUGAGCGAGCGAACUCUCGUUAAGGAACUCGGCAAAAUGACCCCGUAACUUCGGGAGAAGGGGUGCUCUUUAGGGUUAACGCCCAGAAGAGCCGCAGUGAAUAGGCCCAAGCGACUGUUUAUCAAAAACACAGGUCUCUGCUAAACCGUAAGGUGAUGUAUAGGGGCUGACGCCUGCCCGGUGCUGGAAGGUUAAGAGGAGUGGUUAGCUUCUGCGAAGCUACGAAUCGAAGCCCCAGUAAACGGCGGCCGUAACUAUAACGGUCCUAAGGUAGCGAAAUUCCUUGUCGGGUAAGUUCCGACCCGCACGAAAGGCGUAACGAUUUGGGCACUGUCUCAACGAGAGACUCGGUGAAAUCAUAGUACCUGUGAAGAUGCAGGUUACCCGCGACAGGACGGAAAGACCCCGUGGAGCUUUACUGUAGCCUGAUAUUGAAAUUCGGCACAGCUUGUACAGGAUAGGUAGGAGCCUUUGAAACGUGAGCGCUAGCUUACGUGGAGGCGCUGGUGGGAUACUACCCUAGCUGUGUUGGCUUUCUAACCCGCACCACUUAUCGUGGUGGGAGACAGUGUCAGGCGGGCAGUUUGACUGGGGCGGUCGCCUCCUAAAAGGUAACGGAGGCGCUCAAAGGUUCCCUCAGAAUGGUUGGAAAUCAUUCAUAGAGUGUAAAGGCAUAAGGGAGCUUGACUGCGAGACCUACAAGUCGAGCAGGGUCGAAAGACGGACUUAGUGAUCCGGUGGUUCCGCAUGGAAGGGCCAUCGCUCAACGGAUAAAAGCUACCCCGGGGAUAACAGGCUUAUCUCCCCCAAGAGUUCACAUCGACGGGGAGGUUUGGCACCUCGAUGUCGGCUCAUCGCAUCCUGGGGCUGUAGUCGGUCCCAAGGGUUGGGCUGUUCGCCCAUUAAAGCGGUACGCGAGCUGGGUUCAGAACGUCGUGAGACAGUUCGGUCCCUAUCCGUCGUGGGCGUAGGAAAUUUGAGAGGAGCUGUCCUUAGUACGAGAGGACCGGGAUGGACAUACCUCUGGUGUACCAGUUGUCGUGCCAACGGCAUAGCUGGGUAGCUAUGUGUGGACGGGAUAAGUGCUGAAAGCAUCUAAGCAUGAAGCCCCCCUCAAGAUGAGAUUUCCCAACUUCGGUUAUAAGAUCCCUCAAAGAUGAUGAGGUUAAUAGGUUCGAGGUGGAAGCAUGGUGACAUGUGGAGCUGACGAAUACUAAUCGAUCGAAGACUUAAUCAA